AUUGAACGCUGGCGGCAUGCCCUACACAUGCAAGUCGAACGGCAGCACGGGUGCUUGCACCUGGUGGCGAGUGGCGAACGGGUGAGUAAUACAUCGGAACAUGUCCUGUAGUGGGGGAUAGCCCGGCGAAAGCCGGAUUAAUACCGCAUACGAUCCACGGAUGAAAGCGGGGGACCUUCGGGCCUCGCGCUAUAGGGUUGGCCGAUGGCUGAUUAGCUAGUUGGUGGGGUAAAGGCCUACCAAGGCGACGAUCAGUAGCUGGUCUGAGAGGACGACCAGCCACACUGGGACUGAGACACGGCCCAGACUCCUACGGGAGGCAGCAGUGGGGAAUUUUGGACAAUGGGCGAAAGCCUGAUCCAGCAAUGCCGCGUGUGUGAGGAAGGCCUUCGGGUUGUAAAGCACUUUUGUCCGGAAAGAAAUCCUUGGCUCUAAUACAGUCGGGGGAUGACGGUACCGGAAGAAUAAGCACCGGCUAACUACGUG
rnacentral:rRNA from 1 species